GAUGAAGAACGUAGUGAAAUGCGAUACGUAAUGUGAAUUGCAGAAUUCAGUGAAUCAUCGAGUCUUUGAACGCACAUUGCGCCCCCUGGUAUUCCGGGGGGCAUGCCUGUCCGAGCGUCAUUGCUGCCCUCAAGCACGGCUUGUGUGUUGGGCCUCCGUCCUCCUCCCGGGGGACGGGCCCGAAAGGCAGCGGCGGCACCGCGUCCGGUCCUCGAGCGUAUGGGGCUUCGUCACCCGCUCUUGUAGGCCCGGCCGGCGCUUGCCGACACAUCAAUCUUUUUUCCAGGUUGACCUCGGAUCAGGUAGGGAUACCCACUGAACUUAAGCAUAUCAAUAAGCGGAGGA
rnacentral:misc_RNA from 1 species